GCAUCGCCCCCCCAAAUUCGAGAUCAUAUCUCCCUCUCUCGCUCGCGCUGAGCAGCUGGAAGCGCGGCGGCGGAUUCUCGGGCUACGCAUUCGUCUCGCUUCGAUCUCGUCGGUUCCUGAGGCGGAGGCGCCGGAGGAAGCGAACGGCAAGUGACGGAUUCGGUUUGCGUCCUUCGAUUCUGUCCGAGUUGAUGAACGGAGUGAGUAGUGAGUGGGUGGUGCGGAUUUCCUGGACCUAAGGUGUCGGUGGGCAAGAAAAGGUGGUACGAAUUGAAAGCCCAGGUCUCAUCAAUAUGUAUGGCCAGGGAAACUAUGGUCAUCAGACUGGUCAAGGUCCUAACGCGCAACAUCAUCUCUUGCCUCGUCCUACUUCUUCCCAACCUCUGGCAGCACCGAGUUCUGUAAUGCAUCGGCCUCCUCCUGCUGUCCCUCCUCAGAUCAAUCAGCUCUUACCAAUGUCUGAUCAGGUUCCUCGAGGACCACCUUUUCAGGGUCCUCCUACUGGAAUGCCAAACCCUACUAACCCGUCUCAUGCCUCCCUUCCCCAGCCUCCGCCAAUACUCGGAAGAAUGCCGAUGGCUGGCCCUUCUGGCAAUUCUCAGCAUAACCUACGUUAUCCUUUGCAUGUAGGGACUCAAAAUUCUCAUCGCUUUCCGACUCCCUCACCUCCUCCUCCUCCUCCUCCUCUUGUUCAAGGGCACACUACAUACUGGCACCCAGUCAAUUCGCAGCCUAAGCAGCCUAUUUCUGUACAAGGUCCUCCAAUCCCCAAUACCCCACCCCCACCCCCGCCGCCUCCGCCUCCCCCUCCCCAACCUCCACUUCCACAUACUUCUUUGUCACCUGUUCGACCUUCUCCACACUUCUGUAGACCUCUGCUGCCCGCAUCUUCUAUGUCCAAUAUUUCUUCUUCCGAAUUGGCACUUGAUGGUUCUGGACAGAGAAAUGAUAAAGUUGUCACCACUGAAGGAAGGGUUGUGGAGUCAUUAGGUAAAGGGUACGGAUCCAUUUCUGCAUUAGAUAGAAGCACGGCUUUGGAGAUAGACAUCCAUCCAGCUCCACCAAAACCAGCUGACGAGAAAAUCACGAAAAGGAUCGAAACUUUAUGCCAGUUUAUUGCCAAGAAUGGCCCUGGUUUUGAAGAUAUGGCUCGAACCAGGGAGUCUGCAAAUCCUGAGUUCAAAUUUCUUUUUGGUGGUGAGCCUGGAAGUGAUGCUGCGGUUGCACAUGAAUAUUAUCAAUGGGCAAAGAAAACAUACACUUUUGGAGAUAAGUUGCAGGAAGGUGCCUUAAACUUAAGGCCUUCGGAGGCUGGUAUUUCUGUGCAGACCAAACCAUUCGUUAUGACUUCCGUAGUGCAUCCGAAUUCUGAUUCUGACAUGGAGAUGGAAGAUGAUAUUACCCAGGUUGACAUGGAUCAGGAGAUUGAAAGACCAGUUGAAUAUCACCGUGAGGACUCUGAUUUGGUUCGUGAUGAUCAUAACGGGAAAGAGCCGACAAUGCCACAAAUUGUUCAGUGUACAUCACCUCAGGAUAUUUUGUGCAAUAAAGUUCUUUUUUCAGAGGUUCCAGGUCGGAGCGAUUAUGUACAUCAAGGAUCUGGGAUUCUUCCUAAUCAGGAGUGGUUGCUACCUGGGAGUCCAUCAAAUAGGAUCUGCUCAGACUCUAAUCUGCCUGAACCUGCUGGAGCGAGCAUUGCCAAAAUAUCGACCACUGUCCCAGCCAAUGUUUCAAGCCCUCCAAUUGCUUCACCAACUGUCACAAGAGGUAGGCCAUUCAGAUUAGUGCAAGACUAUGCUUCCGACGACGGCUCGGAGAACUCUGCUGUGCCGCAUUCCAAAGAAAAGCAUACAAUGGCCGAACUGUCAGUUUCAUCUGGUUAUAUAAACAAGUCUGAUUAUACUGAAUGUAGAUCUGAGUCAGAUUUACAAGUUUCAAACCUCGGCGAGAUUGAACAGGUCGGUAGACCACUAUCAGAAUCUGGGAAAUCAUUUGUAGCUCCAACUCGUGUUUCCAAUGUGAAGACUAGGAUCGUGGAAACUGUUGCAACCUCAUCUGAAAUUGGGCUGAGUGAUGAACCUUCUGAUACGAACUACAAUCGCCAAGGAACAAUUCGCACUGCUGCGUCUUCAGAAGCUUUUGCUAGAAAUAACAGCUUAAGAAGUCUAAGCACUGGGUCACAUGAGAAUUGUACGUCUGAGAAGGAAACCGGAGGAGAGAAACUAAGGCCCAAUUCAACUGCAGUACAAGUGGAUGAAUUUGGGAGGCUGGUGAGGAAAGGAGCUAGUGACAGUGAUUCUGAUGAUUCAUUAUAUUCUGGGAGGCGUCAUAAGAAAAGGGAGAGAAGUCGGAGCAGGAGCCAGUCUCCAGUAGGUAGAAGGAAUAGACGGAGGAGGAGUUUGCAGAGGACCAGAGACAGACGAAACCGAUCUCGCAGCUGGUCUCCCAGGGGCCGAAGAAGCAAGAGCAGGUCUCCUGUUUUGAGGCAUUCGAAAGAACUUGGCAAUGAUGGUAUGAGACGGAAUAAAAGUCGGAUGCCUGAGUGUUUUGACUUCCUUCGAGGUAGGUGCUACCGUGGUGCUUCUUGCCGCUAUUCGCACCAUGAAGCAGAGAUGGAGCGAUCAAAACGCCAAAGGAGGAGAGCAGAGACUCCUGAAAUGCCUUUACGCUCCAAUAAAACUGAUUUGGAGAAUCUGUCUGCCAGAGUUCCAUAUGGUGGGGAUAGUGAAGUCAAGAACAAACCUUGGCAAAUUCACAAGAACGUGCCAGAUGGAAUCUCUGAUGCUGUUAAACAUGAGAAAAGAGACGAUUCUCUGGGACAUGCCUCGCGAGCUUAUGUUUUCAGUAGGGAUGGUAUAGCUGGUGAAGAUGAACCCAAGAACGACAAGGAGGGUGGUGUUGACAUGCACCUGCCAUAUAGACAAUUAGUUCCAGAAGAUGAUUCUUCCACUAGAAUUCCUUGUACUAAGAAAUUUGAGGAAGGAGUUGGGACUCACCAGCCAAUCUCAGUUGAUAGGUUUAUAGAGCAACCUCUCGGCGGUGCUGAUUCACUGAAGUCUCGCACUGAUAAUGCUUUCCAAUCUGCUAGAAAGAAUCUAUUAGCAGUGUCUUCUCAGUCCAGUCCUUCCAGGGGUGGGCCUCAAAAUGCUAAUAACCUGCCUCAGCUUGAUGAUUCUUCUCAGCCAUUGCCUGACAAAAUAGCUGCAAUAAUCUCUGCGAGCGAAUCUCUUCCAGGUAUUCCACACCAUCCUCCUCAACGGCCUCAACAUCUUUCCCCGUUCAUGCAAGGUGCAGUCACUGGAAAUUUGCAGCAGGUGGCUGGGGAUCAUGUUGUGCAACAGUCUCCUUAUGCAUCUCAAUGUCUUCCUUUGUCCAUGCUAUCAUGCAAUCAACAGCCUCUUGUUUCUGCACCACAGAAUUCCAACUGGAGCUCCAUGCUGCCGCCACAGCCAUUUCCACAUGUACAAUAUGAUUCGGCAGUGAAGGGAGGAGCAGUCGGCCCUGCUCUUUAUACGGAAUUUCAGCAGAGUCACGUGUCACAUACUAACAUCAGUUCUCAGAUGUUGAAACCUUACCCAACUGGAGUGCCUGCUCAUUCACACGUGGGUGAGUUUCCACCCGGAGCAUACUCUGCGGAGCCGGUUCCUGGUCAAUCUCUUAAGCCCAGAGAAGAUUAUAGAUCAAGUACCUACGUUCCUGGCAAUAUACCCGGUCCACCGGUUGCAGGUCCUGGUUCAGCGGGGCCAGCCCAUCCUACUGAACCACAACGUUACCCAAGUGGCAGCAUGCCACCGCCUGAAGUCCUGAAGUUGUCUUCGCAAGUUCAUCCGUAUGUGCAGCAGCAAAACCCUCCCCCUGCUUUGCGACACGGUGGAUCUGCCUUUGCAUCUCCAGGAGGGCUGAGCUCAUCUACAUUUUUGCCUGAUGGUUUGGGCGGGAAGCAGACUUCUGCUCUGGAUUAUGGAAGACUGAGAAGGUCUUCUCACAACCCUUAUGCAUCUACUUUUGAGCAGCCAUUGAUCUCCAAAUUUAGUUCUGGUGCUUUUGGGCAAAACUACCACAGUAGAUAUAACACAGCUUUCCCUUUCAGUCAUGCAUCAGUUGAUGGAAUAGGCAUCGGCAGUGUUGGAUCAAGACAAACAACUUCCUCACCAAAAUCUGCCACGUUGAUGGACCGGGAUUUACCACGUGUGGGUGGUGAUCAAUAUGAUCCACUUUUUGACAGUAUUGAACCCUCUUCAAGUUCAGUCAAGAAAGCUGACCGUGCACAUAAGGCGGAAUCAGUUGAUGAUAGCGAUGUCAUCCUGAGGACCAGUGAUUCGAAUACGCCAUUAGAUGUGGAAGAGAACAAUAAAAGGAAAGAGAUUGGAGCCUUCGCUCCGUCCAUAUCUGUAGAUGAUGAUGGGUUUGGUGAGACUGCAGAAGUGGAAGUUGGUGCAGUUGAGAAUGCGAGCAUCAGUAAUCCAAUUGAUGCAGCAGAUGCCACAGAGUUUGAAAUGGAGAUUGAUCAGAUCAAAUCCCCUGGGAAGAGCAAGAAGCGCAAGGAUUCUAGGUCGAUGAAACUUUUCAAAAUUUCCCUUGCAGAUUUUGUGAAGGAAGUUCUACGGCCAUCGUGGCGGCAAGGGAAUAUGAGCAAAGAGGCAUUUAAGACUAUUGUGAAGAAAACUGUUGACAAAGUAACUGGGGCUAUGAAGAGCCACCACAUACCGAAAUCUCAAGCAAAGAUAAAUCACUACAUUGAUUCUUCACAACGCAAACUUACAAAACUUGUGAUGGGAUAUGUCGAUAAGUAUGUCAAUGUGUAGAUAUGAAACUGAUGGAUUUCAAGGCCAUAUGUAUCGUCCCAGAGGUUUGGCUGAGCUUUGUACAAUUCGGAUGUCGAAAUGAUAAUGAGCAGAUAAUUCAACCCACCAACAGUUUGCUCUAGUCUAUGGAUGGGAGUGAAAAUUGAUUAUGAGCCUUUCAGGUACUAGACUGUGUAACUAUGGAGGAUGAGGAAGCUCUGCGAUUCUUGUACUCUGGCCACAGAAAAGUUCACUUACGGAGCCGAGAAGUGGGUGUCUCGUUUAGCAGUCUUGGAGCAAUUUUCCAUAGAAACUACAGAGCCCAUUUACAUUCUAUCCUGUUGGGCUUGACGUUCUUGUGGAUUCAUGUAAAAAGCUUCACCUGAUCCUGAAAGUAGUACAACCUCCUCUGGAAGUUUUUGCUCCCAAAAGUCCGAUUCGUCUUUGUGAAGGUGUGCUUAUCAAGGUUAUUGUGAUGAGAGACUGACGGUCUUGUUCCUCGUUGUGAGCAUAUGUCCAUGUAACGUCACCUGAUAAUGCAUGUUUCUUUUGUUAAGUUGAACAAAAAUCUUAAUUUGGAUAGUCAAUAUAAUUGUCU